GGCACAGCACUGGGAGGGAAUUACAAAAUGGAGGGAUUAUAAAACAGAAGAGGAAGAAAAGGCUAAGGGGCUGAGUGUGCGCUCUGAGUGUGUGUGUGUGUGUGGGUACACGCAGGUGUGCUGGGGGGAACCAGCCUCGUGCCUGCUGAGGCACUCUCCACCGCUGAGCUGCACCAGAUACAAACAGUAUCCUUUUAGAGGUGGCAGGAAAGCCCUGCUCUGCCAAGGUUCUGCACUUGCCUUGACCUUCUUUUCAAUGGCCACCUGGUGUCCCCUAAUGGGGAGCUGAACCAGACCCCAGGGAUAGGUGGUUUGGGCAGGAAGGAUUGGCUCCUGUACCUGCCAUGGAUGGAGUCCCUGUCACAGAAGCAGGUCGUGUGGCCUUGACAUCAGCUCUGCAGCCCUACGCAAAUAAUCGCUUCCUUUCCUUACCGAGCACCACAUCUUGUCCCACAAUAACUGGCUCGGGUAGGUGGCCACAGGGAUCCUAUUGAUGGUGAGGGGCAGAGAUGCAGUUGGCCAGCCCAGGUCGUGCCACUAGUCGGGCCAGAGCUGACCGGUAGGUAGCCCAAGAAGUGUGACCGAGAGCCUGUGUGGGCACUUGUGGAGGAGGCGCUGGGCCCAUCACCUCUGCCUCCUCGGCUUGGUCCCUCUGUCAGGCCCCCCUCUGCCCCUUGCUGCAGCUGACACAGUCCAUGCUCCAGGACGGGGAGGGGGUGCCCUCUGAGCAGUCUGGGUACCCUCAGGUGGGGCCUUGGGCAUAAGUCUUGUUACAACCUAGGCAGGACUGGGAGGGUCAGGCGCUGGUAGGAGAGGGAGAGUGUCCCUGCACACUUGCAGUCAUGGUCCAGUGUGACUCCCUGCCCCUCUUGGAAACAGCUGGAUUCGCCAGCUGUCAGAGUGUCAUGCAUUUGUGCCUGGACUGAUGCAUGGUCCAUGGCUGAGGUCUGUAGAAGCCUUGAUUUCCUGUCCAGGAUCAGACACCAGGUUGAGUUUUUGUGUGGCUCCUAAACCAGCCCCAGGAGACCCCUGUUUCCAGAAUCCCAGAGACCCAGCUGUCUAAGGGGCUCCUUCCUGGGCAGGGUGAUCGAUGGACAGCUGUGAGGAGUCUCAGCCCUGGAGAGGGUCCAGGGGACUGGCAGUGAGGGCUUUGCCAGGGUUGGCGGCACGGGCCAUUUGGGAGGCGGUACUGGUGCUGGGUUUGUCUCCAGGACACUGCCCAUUGUGACUGUGAGACCCACU
rnacentral:lncRNA from 1 species